AAAAAAAAAAGAAGAAGAUUCCAUUGAUGGAACGACUUUUAAACAGGAGCUAAUGCGUUUUCAACCUUAACAAAGCCAACUAAAAGAAUUAUUCUUUGUCCUUUUUUAAGAAAUACAGACACAAUUUCUUGAUACCGCAAACAAUAAUACAAAAAUAGGCAAAUAGCACCUUUGUCAGCAAUCAUAAACUCUCAAUUUAGCAGUGUGUUCCUCCCCCAAGAAAUCUCCAGGAACUGGGAGGUGUUCUAUGAAGUAUUUUUGCUUCUUGUCAUUUUAAUGGCAGCAAGCUGUUUAUUUUCAGUUGCGGUGACAGCUAGAAUCUUACCAGGUCUUCAAAAUUUCAGGCAGUUAACUUCUCUCAAAUUGUUUCCGUAUACUCAUAAGUUCAAGGUUGCAAGUGGAGAGCCUGCAUUUUUGAAGUAAGCUGAGAGAUCUACAUGCAGGUCAUCAUACAUGUUCAUGAAGGGAUGUGUCAUAAGUUCAUUUGCUGACAGUCUGUCAUUUGGGUCUUUCUGCACACAUGAAGAUACAAAUGAGCAAAACUCUGGAGAAAAUUGGUCAGAAGAUGCACAAGGUUGUGGUUGAUCAACAACAGCUUCCAUAAGCUCAUAAACACUGGCCCAACCUACAUCCUGCUCCAAAGGGGAAUAUGGAAAUUGACCAGUUGCAAACUCCAGCAGUACUAAACCAAGGCUCCAAAUAUCACUUUUGCUGCCAUACUGUCGCCCACUAAUUCUCUCAGGAGACAUAUAAUUGUAUGUACCAACAAAAGUAUUUGCCUGUCCAGAGGUGCUUGCCAAUAUAGCACUCACACCAAAGUCGGUAAUUUUGACUUCUCCUCUAUGAUUUAUUAAUAGAUUAGAAGGUUUUAAGUCCCUGUGGAUAA
rnacentral:misc_RNA from 1 species